rnacentral:rRNA from 3 species
UGGGCAGGUUGAAGGUUGGGUAACACUAACUGGAGGACCGAACCGACUAAUGUUGAAAAAUUAGCGGAUGACCUGUGGCUGGGGGUGAAAGGCCAAUCAAACCGGGAGAUAGCUGGUUCUCCCCGAAAGCUAUUUAGGUAGCGCCUCGUGAAUUCAUCUCCGGGGGUAGAGCACUGUUUCGGCUAGGGGGCCAUCCCGGCUUACCAACCCGAUGCAAACUGCGAAUACCGGAGAAUGUUAUCACGGGAGACACACGGCGGGUGCUAACGUCCGUCGUGAAGAGGGAAACAACCCAGACCGCCAGCUAAGGUCCCAAAGUCAUGGUUAAGUGGGAAACGAUGUGGGAAGGCCCAGACAGCCAGGAUGUUGGCUUAGAAGCAGCCAUCAUUUAAAGAAAGCGUAAUAGCUCACUGGUCGAGUCGGCCUGCGCGGAAGAUGUAACGGGGCUAAACCAUGCACCGAAGCUGCGGCAGCGACACUGUGUGUUGUUGGGUAGGGGAGCGUUCUGUAAGCCUGUGAAGGUGUGUCGUGAGGCAUGCUGGAGGUAUCAGAAGUGCGAAUGCUGACAUAAGUAACGAUAAAGCGGGUGAAAAGCCCGCUCGCCGGAAGACCAAGGGUUCCUGUCCAACGUUAAUCGGGGCAGGGUGAGUCGACCCCUAAGGCGAGGCCGAAAGGCGUAGUCGAUGGGAAACGGGUUAAUAUUCCCGUACUUGGUGUUACUGCGAAGGGGGGACGGAGAAGGCUAUGUUGGCCGGGCGACGGUUGUCCCGGUUUAAGCGUGUAGGUGUGUGUUCCAGGUAAAUCCGGUUCACUUUAACACUGAGGCGUGACGACGAGGCACUACGGUGCUGAAGCAACAAAUGCCCUGCUUCCAGGAAAAGCCUCUAAGCAUCAGGUAACAUCAAAUCGUACCCCAAACCGACACAGGUGGUCAGGUAGAGAAUACCAAGGCGCUUGAGAGAACUCGGGUGAAGGAACUAGGCAAAAUGGUGCCGUAACUUCGGGAGAAGGCACGCUGACACGUAGGUGAAGUGAUUUACUCAUGGAGCUGAAGUCAGUCGAAGAUACCAGCUGGCUGCAACUGUUUAUUAAAAACACAGCACUGUGCAAACACGAAAGUGGACGUAUACGGUGUGACGCCUGCCCGGUGCCGGAAGGUUAAUUGAUGGGGUCAGCGCAAGCGAAGCUCCUGAUCGAAGCCCCGGUAAACGGCGGCCGUAACUAUAACGGUCCUAAGGUAGCGAAAUUCCUUGUCGGGUAAGUUCCGACCUGCACGAAUGGCGUAAUGAUGGCCAGGCUGUCUCCACCCGAGACUCAGUGAAAUUGAACUCGCUGUGAAGAUGCAGUGUACCCGCGGCAAGACGGAAAGACCCCGUGAACCUUUACUAUAGCUUGACACUGAACAUUGAGCCUUGAUGUGUAGGAUAGGUGGGAGGCUUUGAAGUGUGGACGCCAGUCUGCAUGGAGCCGACCUUGAAAUACCACCCUUUAAUGUUUGAUGUUCUAACGUGGACCCGUUACCCGGGUUGCGGACAGUGUCUGGUGGGUAGUUUGACUGGGGCGGUCUCCUCCUAAAGAGUAACGGAGGAGCACGAAGGUUGGCUAAUCCUGGUCGGACAUCAGGAGGUUAGUGCAAUGGCAUAAGCCAGCUUGACUGCGAGCGUGACGGCGCGAGCAGGUGCGAAAGCAGGUCAUAGUGAUCCGGUGGUUCUGAAUGGAAGGGCCAUCGCUCAACGGAUAAAAGGUACUCCGGGGAUAACAGGCUGAUACCGCCCAAGAGUUCAUAUCGACGGCGGUGUUUGGCACCUCGAUGUCGGCUCAUCACAUCCUGGGGCUGAAGUAGGUCCCAAGGGUAUGGCUGUUCGCCAUUUAAAGUGGUACGCGAGCUGGGUUUAGAACGUCGUGAGACAGUUCGGUCCCUAUCUGCCGUGGGCGCUGGAGAACUGAGGGGGGCUGCUCCUAGUACGAGAGGACCGGAGUGGACGCAUCACUGGUGUUCGGGUUGUCAUGCCAAUGGCACUGCCCGGUAGCUAAAUGCGGAAGAGAUAAGUGCUGAAAGCAUCUAAGCACGAAACUUGCCCCGA